AGAAAGAAAACCCAGAUACGUCCUUAUGGAGCUGACAGUCUAGUGUCGCCAUUCCUGCCUGUCACCUCCCUACCCAGCUCCUCUCCUCUCACAGCUGCUUCGAAUCUGGGUCAUUGGUUCAGGUAAAUAAAAGAGUUCAGACAGAGCCAUGAUGAAUACUAAUUAGCAUUAUAAUAAUGAAAAGAGAACUGGGAAAAAUUAUUUUAUAGGCCACAAAGAUAUAUAAUUAUAUUGUAACAUUACGCAUAAAUGGAAGACUCACAAUUGGAAGGGAACCAUGGUAGAUAUAAUUCAGAACACCAGAUAAUCCCAAAAUUAUUUCUAUUGGCUGUCUUAGGCUUUAAAAAAUGAUUCAACUUUUUAAUUUGAAAUAAUUUUACAUGCACAUAGAAGUUGCAAAGAUAGUGUACAGAGAAUUAUCUUGUACCCUUCACCCAGCCUCCGCCAAUGAUAACAUCUUACUUAGCCAUAGUACCAUUUUCAAGAC
rnacentral:lncRNA from 10 species